rnacentral:rRNA from 1 species
UACGGAAGGCAGCAGGGGGGAAUAUUGCACAAUGGGCGCAAGCCUGAUGCAGCCAUGCCGCGUGUAUGAAGAAGGCCUUUCGGGUUGUAAAGUACUUUCAGUCGUGAGGAGGUGUUAAGGUUAAUAACCUUAGCAAUUGACGUUAGCGACAGAAGAAGCACCGGCUAACUCCGUGCCAGCAGCCGCGGUAAUACGGAGGGUGCGAGCGUUAAUCGGAAUUACUGGGCGUAAAGGGCACGCAGGCGGUUAAUUAAGUUGGAUGUGAAAUCCCCGGGCUUAACCUGGGAAUGGCAUUCAAGACUGGUUAGCUAGAGUCUUGUAGAGGGGGUAGAAUUCCAUGUGUAGCGGUGAAAUGCGUAGAGAUGUGGAGGAAUACCGGUGGCGAAGGCGGCCCCUGGACAAAGACUGACGCUCAUGUGCGAAAGCGUGGGGAGCAAACAGGGAUUAGAUACC